CGAGGGAACCAGGAGAUGAGCAACGAGACAACUAAUCUGGACCAAGAGCCGGCAUUCCAAGCAGCCCGGACCUAAGCUGUCAAACCGAUCGCAGGAACCACAGCUGCACAAUUACGUUCAGUGCAGCUGUGGAGGCUGGAGAACUGUGACAACAGAGACCAUAGGACCACCUGGAGAGAAGUUGUCACCUGUGUCUAUGGAGGCUCAAUGCAAUAACAUCCUGCAGCUCAUCGCUCUCUCCAGCCUCUGGUCCAGACAGAGGGGAGCCUCCCAGUCCUAAUCACAUAGAGGAAGUGUCUUUAUCACUGCUUUCUCUGUGCUGCUGGGUUUGGGAGACUCUUCACAUAACCAGUGGUGUUGGCCUCCAUCUGUAAACAGAAGACGGUCAAGACAAGUGGUUGUCGUAAAUACUGUAUAUAUAUAUAUAUAUAUAUAUAUAUAUAUAUAUAUAUAUAUAUAUAUAUAUAUAUAUAUAUAUAUAUAUAUAUAUAUAUAUAUAUAUAUAUAUAUAUAUAUAUAUAUAUAUAUAUAUAAUGUAAUCAAGAAAAUAAAAGAACUGCUUUGUCUGAA